rnacentral:lncRNA from 14 species
GAAUGAUGUGAAGUAGUUACUAGGAAAAUUCCUGUUAGGAAGAGACUUGCAGUGGCUAACAACUUCAUUACAGAGAGAGGUACAGGCACAGUCAAAAUGGCAAAGAGAAGCCCAUGGCACAGACAAGGAACUUCACAGGCAAGCCUCACUCCUGAGGAAAGCAAUGCACAGUUACAGUCUCAUCUUAAGUUACUCCAUUUGGAGAAGGAGGACAAAUGGAGAAGAG